rnacentral:sRNA from 1 species
AAAUCAAAUAUAUAGUCUCAUUCUGUUGUGUCCGGUCCUGAAUCGAAAGAUUAGAUGUUGAUCUUGUCGAGAUUGCUUUUAAUAGGCACCUACUAGUUUAUUAUUCCAGUAGUUCCUGGAACACCUAUUUAGGCUUUGCAGAACACUGAUAUGGCAAUAUGGUUAUCAGCGGUGUAGCAUUUGUACAGUUAGUCAUACAUGUUGCUAAUUGUACAGCAUUGGCUGCUAUUUAUUGGAAUUAAAUUGUUACGUUAUUUUGGAGUUGUCAAGUUCUUUGAGUUGAUACUGUCAUGUGGUGCAGUUUGUAGAGAAACUGGAUAGUGAGAAUUGUUACAAUAUUUAUUGUAGUAUGUACAGAAAAAAUUUCUACAUUCUAAAUUUUCUACAUUAAAUAUAAUUGCAAUUUUUUUUCCCCAUAAAUGGUUUACUAAUAGGUAGUGUAUAUCAGCUUCAUAAGCAUGAAAGUCUUCAAAAUGAACUGAUAAUUUUUUUUGUCUCACAGGAUUUAUUGGCUAGCAACUCAACUUCUUGAAACUUUCUGGUACCAACUUUACAAAACUCCAAAUGAAUUACUCUCUUCUUAGCAUCGUGAGGAUUUAUUAGAUCAAGUUUCAUUUCAAAAGCUUUCACCAAAGUAUAAGUUUCUAGGAGUAAUUAACUUUUACCUUGAAGUUUAACACACAGUUGAGUGUUGAAAUUGAUGUGGAUUUAUACUAUCUCUUUCCAAGAAGUUCACUGAAUCAGUAACUAAUGCAUUAUAAUGUUCCAUCUAAUUAUGUUACAAUAAAGUGCUUGCUGAUGGAUGAUACAGUCUAAUACCAUAGCGCAACACUUGGAUAAAAAAAUUGGCCUUAACUAAAUUUAAGGUGAUAGGACCACUCAAGAUGAACUGUCUUUGGCUGAUCAAUAAGAUUAUUUUGUGACCUUAUUGGAAUGAAUUACGAUUCUAUUGACAUUAUAAUAUAGUAUCAGUAUCAGAGUAUCAGCCAGGAUCCAAGGUACUGUAGUAUGGAGAACAGACUGAACAGGAUAUAAACUGAUAUUGACUACAGUUCUUUGAAUAAUUCAACAUGCAAUCUCUUGUUUUGUUUGGUUCUCGCAUCAGUUCUGUAGUUAUCCAGUCAACACUUGGCCACAGCUGACGCUCUGAAGUAUUGGAAUCUGUUGUGUGCAAUGUUGGACAGAACAUAUUGAAUCUUAUACACGGAUAAUCUGAACUUAGUAGAUGUCUUUUACUGCAGUGUGUCCUUUGGAUGUUUUUUAUUUUUAUUUUUAUGCUCUUAAAAGAGUUUUUGAAAGGUUCCAUUACAAAAAAAUGUUUCCAUUGUGAGAGGAGGAUGUUUACCUAGAUGUUUACGGGAGUGUGUUUUGAUACAUUAGGAAUACAAUGCUAGAUUUUAGUCACGUUUCUGAUGCCACGGUAAAUUUUUUUAUAGUUAUUUAGAGCGAGAGGGCAUAUUUUGAUCAAACUGUAGAGUGCUGCUUCUUAAUGCCAAUACGGAUAUUGUUUUGCCAAACACCUUUCGAGGAUUACCCGUAGGAACCAAUUAAGACUAGAGAAUCUAGUAUUUAUAACAUACUUUGAGACAAAUGAGAUCAUGAUCUUUGUUUAUUGUGAAGUUGUUUUUUCUUCUUAUAUUGUUGUAUAAGUAUUUCAGAAAACAAAGUCUCAAGUAGAUCUAAUGACGUUUCAUUAGCAAUUCCACAUUUUUCAAUACCUUGUAGUUUACAUGAAAUCAUAAAAAAAACAAAAAAAAA